CGGGAAGAGCCGCCUGCAGCAGACCCAGGAUGAAUGGAGGAGUGAAGGUCAUCAUGCUGGACAACCUGCACAAAGCUGAAGAAAGAUCUGGCAAACUGAAUGAGCUUGAGGAUAGAGCUGAUCAGCUGCUGGAAAAGAGUAAAAAAUUUGAAAAGACUGCCCCCAGGUGAAGACAAAGAAAAGAUGGGAGAACAAGAAGAUGAAAGUGGUGUUCAUCGUCGGUUGGAGUGGUAGCAGCACUCCUCGUUGUGGGACUUAUAAUCUUUUUGAGUUUUAGAUAAGAGCCCCCCCGCUGCCUGUCGAAAGAAAAAUAAGGGACUGUGAGGGUAAAACAUCUAGGAAGAGGAGAGUAACUAUAACUGUGGGACUCCAGCAUCUUAGCUGAACUAUUCUUGUGUGACAUAUUUAUGGAGGAUCAUUCCUGUUCUUCUCGCUAUAGUUCAAGUCUUCACUGAUAUGGUACCAUGGAUUGCUCAGCUGCUUCUUAUCGCUCUAUUUUUAAAUGACUCCCCUUUUUAAAAGGUCAUGCCUCUGGACAGCCCACCACUGAGACAUUACAACGUGGAUCUAAAACCUUAAAAGUUCAUUGAAUGGAUAUCCACAGAAUGAAACCAGUACUGGCCUCCCCGUGAAAUCUCAGUGUCAUGAAGAUUUGUUCAAAUUGCAUCUAAAUAAGUGUUUUGCCAUGUCUUGUUAUGGAAAACUAUGCACACACAUAUUCUUAAUCAAAUAUCAUUAGGCUUCAGUCAUUAUAAUGUUAGUUUGAGUGAUGAGUGGUUCCCAUUCAUCACUCAGAAGUGAUGUUACAAGGGAUGAAAAAAA